rnacentral:rRNA from 1 species
GAUGGACGCUGGCGGCGUGCCUAAUACAUGCAAGUCGAGCGAAUGGAUUAAGAGCUUGCUCUUAUGAAGUUAGCGGCGGACGGGUGAGUAACACGUGGGUAACCUGCCCAUAAGACUGGGAUAACUCCGGGAAACCGGGGCUAAUACCGGAUAACAUUUUGAACCGCAUGGUUCGAAAUUGAAAGGCGGCUUCGGCUGUCACUUAUGGAUGGACCAGCGUCGCAUUAGCUAGUUGGUGAGGUAACGGAUCACCAAGGCAACGAUGCGUAGCCGACCUGGCAGGGUGAUCGGCCACACUGGGACUGAGACACUGCCCAGACUCCUACGGGAGGCAGCAGUAGGGAAGCUUCCGCAAUGGACGAAAGUCUGACGGAGCAACGCCGCGUGAGUGAUGAAGGCUUUCGGGUCGUAAAACUCUGUUGUUAGGGAAGAACAAGUGCUAGUUGAAUAAGCUGGCACCUUGACGGUACCUAACCAGAAAGCCACGGCUAACUACGUGCCAGCCGCCGCGGUAA